AACCUCUGAGGAUGUCUGCCACAGAUGUGGGUAAAAUGUCCGGAGAGAAUGCUUCAGGAACAUGGCUAUAGAGCCCGGAAAACUCAUAGCAACCCAGCCAGUAGGCUGUUGCUGAACAACCUAUGCACUUUUAGCAUCAAAGGAAAAAAUGCCCAGGAUUUUCUCACUUAAUAUACAAACUGUUGGCAUGUCUGGGGAAAAAGAAUAGAAUGCUUCUAUACCAGGCAAGGGCAAACUUUGCCCAUGUCUGGUGUUAGGAAUUGUGGGAGUUGAAAUCCAAAACAAUCUGACAGAAAACUGGGAGUUGUAGUUUGGCAUGCUACUGGCUCUCUUCUGCAGGGAAGGCUAGGUAGGGAGUUUGUAAAACUACAACUCACAUGAUUACAUGGCACUGAAUCUGUUGCAAAUGAGCUGGUGCCAUAAUCCUCCUGGAGAGAUCUCUUAAAGGGAUAUCCUCUGGCUCUUAAGGAUUCCCAUUAGAAAGGCUUGCCUGCCUCAGGUGUUCCCCUUUAAGGCUAACUGGCUCUUGGGUAAGUCUGGAAAGAGCAAAACCAAACCGGGGAAGAGACUUUUUUCCUAAGAGGGAGAAAGAGAAAGAGGCUGGUGCUGGGUCCCUUCUUUCUUCCCUCCCUCCCUGCUUUCUCCCUCUCCCUCGCUCUCUCUCCACCUCUCCGACCUCUCUCUCUCUCUCUCUCUCUCUCUCUCUCUCUCUCUCUGCGACCUCUCAGAGAGAGAGAGAGAGAGAGAGACGCAGGGAGGAAGAGAGAGCCAUGCCCACUGCUGAAGAAGGUGGAAGGCUUCAACUGAGCCGGCUGAAAAGGCAAGGACCCAAAAAGAAGAGCAUGUAUAUCAUCCAGCCUUCACACAGGGUGACUUGACACAGUCUAGACAGCCAUGUGGAUUCGUCUGAAGAGACGCUGUGGCUCCUUCCUGCUGUGUUUGAUCCACGACGGGUUCUACUGCAUUGAUUCAGCUUGGGAACUACUGUGCCAGCUCAAAACCUAAGCCAAUGAUGGAUUGAAAAAUACAUUUUAUCGCCCCCGCAGAAGCGGUUCAAUAUAAGUGAUAUGUGGCUGGUUAUGGUGAGCCACGUCUCUUGUGGUUAGUCCUUAUUGGCCCUAAGUGAUUUUUAAGGUGGAUUUAGCAAAGCAGAAACCAAAUAUCUUGGUCUCUCUUAAUGGCACUCCUUUUUUUUAUACCCAUAAAGGAUCAAAUGUUUUUUCCCCUCCUUUUGGUUCUCAGAUAUCUAGCCAGCUGGCUUAUAAGAAUAAUACGAGUUAGUUAUUUGGCAAUUUCCUGAUGAACGGUCUCCAGAUCAGAGACUUCAUAUUCAUCCUGUGGGCAAAUUUACAAACAGAGGCCUCAGCCUUUUCAUGAAAGGCCACAAUCCCCAUGUUGCUGCUCUGUUCCUGCCAACAUGUUGUGUAAGUGCACCAACUUUGCCAGAGAACUCUAAAUUCCUCCUUCUGUCUCUAUCAUGACUUCUUGUAUAACAAUGGAUUGUGACUAGAAACUCGAUAUGGCGGGCUGUUAAAUGGUAAUUCAAUUAUAUGAUUCAUAUUGUGUUUCAAAGUGUAUGAAAAUAUUUCCUUCCUUGGAGUUUGUGGUUUCUUGUUUUACUCUCACACAAUAAGCAUAAAGAUGAUGAGUAUUAACAUUUGUAGUGUGCCCUAUAUCCCGGUCUCCAAUCCUCAUAUAUUUUUUUAAAAAAUCAGUGAAUCAUUGAAAUGCCAGAGUUACAGGUGUAUCUUAGGAAGGAAAAUUAAUAAUCCAGUGGGAUUGAUUGAUUUACUAUGGGCCAAACACCUGAAGCCAUUCUUUUCAAGUGUUGUUGGCAUGUGUUAAUAUAAUCCACCUUUUCUUUACGUAAUUUCCUCAGUUUUUCAAGACAAAGCAAACAGCUCAUAAUAAUGACACACUCUUCUAAGCCACAACUUAGCACGUGGUGAACUAAUUCAAACCAGGCCCACUUAAAUCCUGUGUGUUUUCCCCCCUUCUCCUCUUUUCCCCAUCUCCACAUGUGAACUAAAUGAGUCGGUCAAACCUUUCAAGCUAGAAAAAACAGUAUCCGAAUGUUUAUGCCUAGAAUCCUAAGAAGUGUAAAUGCCACAACUGAACUCAGUGGAACUCGCUUCUGAGGGAAAGUGUUUAGGAUUGGACUAUAAAUGUAUUUAAUCCAUAGAAAGCCAUUCAAAAACCACUUAAAAACAAAUUUGGAUCACCUUUGGUUUGGCUCAAGUUCAGCAACAAGACAGGAUAUAUAGUUAAGGUUCAGCUCUAUUUCGGAUUUUACAAACCAACAACUUACUUCAUUCUUCCAUUGUCAUCCUGUCAUUUAAAAAGUCCACAGCAAAAAAACAAAACAAAAAACUCUACUGUGCCAUUCCAGGUAUUCUCUUAUGCUUUCUUUUAAAAAUAUACACAUUGCUUCACUCGA